AAUGUUAUUCUCCAAUGUCCAUCACUCCAAUCACUUUCUAUAAGGAACAAAGUCUUAUAAAGUGAGAAAACCUUGUGGUGGUGAGCAAUAUGAGACAAUGAAAUUCUACUCAAAAUUUCCAACAUUCUCACUUUGUACAUUAAAGUUUGAUGAUUAGACGAAUAACAUGAAGGUUUGAUGAAUUGAAGAGAUGUGUUUCUGGGCAUGGAUUGAUUGUUGGUUUAUUUGAAGGGGUUGGGUUGGUGGGACGGGAAGAGGGAGGGAGGGAGGGAGGGCUGAGUUUGGGAUAUUAAAACUUUUACUUCUUUUUUUUUUUCAUAAAAGUUUAUGUUAUUUAGUAGUAUUAGGUCUUAAGUUCGAUUAUCGCUAAAGGCGAAUUUGAACCACAUUAUUACUAACUUAUUAUGAGGUUAAGCCGAUCUCAUCAUUUUGUAGAUAAUAUCGUUUGUUAAAAAAAAAAUCAGGUUUUAAAAUAAAUUUAAUAAGAAGAAUUUUAUUUUAAUUUACUUGAUUUAACACAUGACUAGUUUUGAGUGGUGGUGAAGUGUCAAUCAGUAAAGUUCAUGACAAACUAAACAGGGUCCACACAAUUUUUUCACAUACAUGUAUGAAUAGAUGGGAUAUAGAAUCAAUCACUUUCUUUGAAAAAAAGAAGGCAUAAGGUUUAACUCAUAUGGGCUCCCGUCCACCUUUUAUUAUAGUCCUUGAAUGUUUGUCUAUUUUUCGAAGUUUCCUGGAGUUUGCUGGGAUAUUUUGGCAAAUUAAUAUAAAUGGUAAAUUUCCCAUUGCCGCUAAUUUGUGGGUUAUUUUUUUUUAAUAUGAAUGAAUGCGAUGGCAUGUGGAAUCAAUCGCUUUUUUUGGAAAAAAGAAGUUUUAAGUUUCAACUCACAUGGGCUCCCCUCAACUUUUUUUAUAGUCCUUAAAUGUCUGUCUAUUUCAUGAAGUUUGAUGGAGAUUGCUUGGAAAUUUAGAAUAGGAUUCUCUUUCAUUUUAUUUUUUUCUCUUAUAUUUUCCUCUUUGUUUUUAUUUUUUGCUUUUUAAAAAAAUCAACACAAGAUGUUGACAUAACUUAAUCGUAAUCGUUUAAAUAGGAGAGUAGGAGAGUGAGAUUAGAAGAGAAAAAAAUUACUCUGAAAAUAUAAGAGGUAAACUUCCUUUGCCACUAAUUUGUGACAUUUGUGCCAAUCAAGCAACACCGGCUCAAUUAGCCGGCAGACACUCUGAAUCUAAAAGAUUAUUAAGGAUGUACUUGUUUCCAUGCAUCUUUGUUUACUAUUUGUUCCAUCUUUAUGCAUUCUCACGUAUGGUCGGAGAACAAAAUCCAAAGCUAAAACUAAGAAGUGUUGCCCAUCCUGGUUGAGGAACUUUGUACAAGUAACAAAGCACAUCAGGUAAGACAAAUGGAGGUGAGCUAGGCCUUCCUGAGCAAUGUUUCAAACUCAGUCAAAUAAAGCUGUAUUACUAUGGCAGCACAGUGGCGAAGUCCAGGAUUUUUAAGCGUGUGGGUGAGGGGGUGCAAGGGGCACUUUGGUACAUUGUGGCUCCGCCUGUGACAACAAUAUUGUACGGAUGGUUGUAUCUUCAAACCUGCAUUGAGAAGUGUGUACAAAGUAGGGCACUUUGGGAUUGCUUAUCGUAAAAGCACUUUUGCUUAUAAACGCUAGUGCUUAAUUACGUUAAAGUUUCACUUUUAUCAAAGAAGUGUUAGAGUUUCUCUAGAAGGUACUUCUUUGUGAACCAGAGGCAUUUACAAAGUUUUUAUUAAAUACAGUCAGAAAACAUUUUUAACCUUUCUAGAAACAAUCUCAAACAUGCCCAUAGUAUAAAGGAUAAUGCUACGGAAACCAAAUUUGCUAAACCAAAUUUGCAAACCAAUGAUACAGUUGUUAAUGAUUGGAUUAUUACUUAACCAUUGAUUAACGUGCUUAUUUUCUAGGGAACUUUAAUGAAAAGCACCCGGUACUGUUCACUUUAACGAAAACCACAUUUUUACACUAAAAAGUCAAUCCUGGUACUAUUCACUUUACCCUUUAUUUUUUCCUUAUCAUUAAAAC
rnacentral:lncRNA from 1 species